rnacentral:rRNA from 1 species
GAUGAACGCUGGCGGUAUGCCUAACACAUGCAAGUCGUACGAGAGUUUUUAACUCUAGUGGCGGACGGGUGAGUAACACGUGAGAAUUUGCCUUUAGGAGGGGGAUAACAAUUGGAAACGAAUGCUAAUACCCCAUAUGCUUUUGAGUGAAACGGAUUUAUCCGCCUAGAGAGAAGCUCGCGGCUGAUUAGCUUGUUGGUAAGGUAAGAGCUUACCAAGGCGACGAUCAGUAUCUGGUUUGAGAGGACGAUCAGACACACUGGAACUGAGACACGGUCCAGACUCCUACGGGAGGCAGCAGUGGGGAAUUUUCCGCAAUGGGCGAAAGCCUGACGGAGCAAUACCGCGUGAGGGAAGACUGCCUAUGGGUUGUAAACCUCUUUUUUCAGGGUAGGAAUAAAUGACGUGUACCUGAAGAAUAAGCAUCGGCUAACUCCGUG